CCUACGGGCGGCUGCAGUGGGGAAUAUUGCACAAUGGGCGCAAGCCUGAUGCAGCCAUGCCGCGUGUGUGAAGAAGGCCUUCGGGUUGUAAAGCACUUUCAGCGGGGAGGAAGGCGUUAAGGUUAAUAACCUUGGCGAUUGACGUUACCCGCAGAAGAAGCACCGGCUAACUCCGUGCCAGCAGCCGCGGUAAUACGGAGGGUGCAAGCGUUAAUCGGAAUUACUGGGCGUAAAGCGCACGCAGGCGGUCUGUCAAGUCGGAUGUGAAAUCCCCGGGCUCAACCUGGGAACUGCAUUCGAAACUGGCAGGCUAGAGUCUUGUAGAGGGGGGUAGAAUUCCAGGUGUAGCGGUGAAAUGCGUAGAGAUGUGGAGGAACACCAGUGGCGAAGGCGGCUCUCUGGCCUGUAACUGACGCUGAGGCGCGAAAGCGUGGGGAGCGAACAGGAUUAGAUACCCCUGUAGUC
rnacentral:rRNA from 1 species